UCUUUUUUUUUUGUAAACAAACUUUUUUUUCUAAUUUCUUUUUCUUGCUCUUUUUUUUCUUUUCUCACUUGUUCUUUUUUUUUCUUUUGCUAUUUUUGCAUUCUUUUUCUCAUUUUUCUUUUCUUUUUUCACAUCUAUUCUUUUCUUUUUCUCUUAAUUGGUUUACAACAGACUUCAAUUGAUCCUCGAAAACUUGCUUUGGCGUCAACGGAGCCAAAGUGAUAUUAUUUCCUUGAUAUUUGAACGUAUACCAAUUGGUAUCCCAUCAUGGGUGACUCUUCGA
rnacentral:lncRNA from 1 species